rnacentral:lncRNA from 1 species
CAAGUUUGAAUCCUUUAGCAAUUAGAAUAGGGCCAGAAACUAGGUUUCUUCUUAUUUCAGGAAUAUGCAGCACGUCAAGCAAAGUUAGGCUUUUUCCAGAAGUGAGUUUGAGUACAACUUUGCCUCUGCUUUAAUUGCAGAUGUUGCAGCUGUGGAUGCAAAUUUCUUCCUCCUUGAUCUUGGACAAUUUUGCACCUACAAAACAAUUAACACCUUAGGUUAAGGCCAAGAGCCUCACGCGCCCACGAUGAAUGGGGGGGCUUUGGCCGAAAAACCUCCGAUGCCAAAGUUAGAAUUUAGAGAGAAAUAGUGUUUAGAGAAUUUUGGGAUUUUUGCCAAAGUGUUGGAAUUGGCUUUUUUGGUGAGAAUGAGAGUAUAUUUAUAGGGAUAGGAGGUGGCUAGGGUUUUUUGGGUUUAAUUUAGGUUUAAGUAGGAGUUACAAAAUUGAUUAUUUGUAUAAAUGGGAUAAUAAAAUGGAGAAAAGUGAAAAAGGUUAGGAAAAUGGAGGUGGAUUAGGUUUUGAAUGGGGAUAACUGGCCAUGUGGUGUUUUUGGGUUGAAUUGGAUGUGUUUUGUGGUUAUUUGGAUAUAAUGGAUGGUUUAAUUGACAAUUAAUGGGUUAAUUAGGCAAUAAACCCAUUAAUUAGCCAAUUAACAUAAUUUAAAAGGAAUGUGUUUGGGAAUUACCUUGUAGAAAGGAUUUGAUGAGAUGGACUUUGAAUUGUUACCUAUUUUGGGCACUUCUGUCUUGGUUGAAAGAGGGUUGCCCGCUGCUUGCGCGUAGGAACCCCGUUGUACUGCAAGGGUAUUUUUAUCCUUUUUGUCCAAAAAUCCACGUGUCGCCUUGAGAAUAUUUUUGGCUCCACAAAUGCCCCCACACCUGUUGGGCUGCUUGCAGAAAAGGGCAGCAGGUGUAGAGAUCUUCUUGCUUUAGGAAACUUAGGACUGCUUCCUAUUUUGAUGUA